rnacentral:rRNA from 1 species
AUUGAACGCUGGCGGCAGGCCUAACACAUGCAAGUCGAGCGGAGCUGCGGACGGGUUAGUAAUGCCUAGGAAUCUGCCUGGUAGUGGUGGAUAACGUCCGGAAACGGGCGCUAGUACCGCAUACUAUCAGAUGAGCCUAGGUCGGAUUAGCUAGUUGUUGGGGUAAAGGCCUACCAGGGCGAGUAUCCGUAACUGUUCUGAGAGGAUGAUCAGUCACACUGGAACUGAGAAACGGUCCAGACUCCUACGGGAGGCAGCAGUGGGGAAUAUGGGACAAGGGGCGAAAGCCGGAUCAAGCCAGGCCGGGUGUGUGAAGAAGGUCUUCGGAUGGUAAAGUACUUUCAGCGGGGAGGCGUUACCCGCAGAAGAAGCACCGGCUAACUCCGUGCCAGCAGCCGCGGUAAUUC